rnacentral:rRNA from 1 species
AUUGAACGCUGGCGGCAGGCCUAACACAUGCAAGUCGAGCGGCAGCGGGAAAGUAGCUUGCUACUUUUGCCGGCGAGCGGCGGACGGGUGAGUAAUGCCUGGGGAUCUGCCCAGUCGAGGGGGAUAACUACUGGAAACGGUAGCUAAUACCGCAUACGCCCUACGGGGGAAAGCAGGGGACCUUCGGGCCUUGCGCGAUUGGAUGAACCCAGGUGGGAUCAGCUAGUUGGUGAGGUAAUGGCUCACCAAGGCGACGAUCCCUAGCUGGUCUGGGAGGAUGAUCAGCCACACUGGAACUGAGACACGGUCCAGACUCCUACGGGAGGCAGCAGUGGGGAAUAUUGCACAAUGGGGGAAACCCUGAUGCAGCCAUGCCGCGUGUGUGAAGAAGGCCUUCGGGUUGUAAAGCACUUUCAGCGAGGAGGAAAGGUUGGUAGCUAAUAACUGCCAGCUGUGACGUUACUCGCAGAAGAAGCACCGGCUAACUCCGUGCCAGCAGCCGCCGUAAAAC